rnacentral:tRNA from 1 species
GGGGGAUAGCUUAAAUGGAUAAAGCCCGGGCUAUACAAGCCUGCAGAUUUAGGUUCAAAUCCUAAUCCCCCUA